rnacentral:misc_RNA from 1 species
GAUGAAGAACGUAGCGAAACGCGAUAGUUAAUGUGAAUUGCAGAAUUCAGUGAAUCAUCGAGUCUUUGAACGCACAUUGCGCCUAUUGGUAUUCCAUUAGGCAUGUCUGUUUGAGCGUCAUUACAAACCCUCAGCACUAGCUGGUUAUGAGCUUGUGUCCUUCCUGACCUAAAUGGUUUGAGGGGGGCACUGGCUUCAAAGUUGUAAGCUCUGCGGGCUGCUUUGCUAAACUAAAACAUAGUAAAAUUACUCUUGUUUACGGUGAGGUUUUGCUGGCUCCGCCUGAAUAAUAAAAUCUUUCUAAGGUUUAACCUCAGAUCAGACAAGGAUACCCGCUGAACUUAAGCAUAUCAAUAAGCGGAGGA